AACGCACAUUGCGCCCAUUAGUAUUCUAGUGGGCAUGCCUGUUCGAGCGUCAUUUCAACCCUUAAGCCUAGCUUAGUGUUGGGAGUCUACAAAUGGUAACUUGUUAUCUGUAGUUCCUAAAAUGAAACGGCGGAUCUGCAGUAUCCUCUGAGCGUAGUAAAUUUUUAUCUCGCUUUUGUUAGGUGCUGUGGCUCUUGCCGCUAAACCCUCAAUUUUUAAUGGUUGACCUCGGAUCAGGUAGGAAUACCCGCUGAACUUAA
rnacentral:misc_RNA from 1 species